AUUGGACGCUGGCGGUAUGCUUAACACAUGCAAGUCGAACGGCAGCAUGGUCUAGCUUGCUAGACUGAUGGCGAGUGGCGGACGGGUGAGUAACGCGUAGGAAUAUGCCUUGAAGAGUGGGACAACUUGGGGAAACUCAAGCUAAUACCGCAUGUACUCGAGAGAGUAAAGCUGGGGACCUUUUGGCCUGGCGCUUUAAGAUUAGCCUGCGUCCGAUUAGCUAGGUGGUAGGGUAAAGGACUACACAGGCGACGAGCGGUAGCUGGUCUGAGAGGAUGAUCAGCCACACUGGAACUGAGAGACGGUCCAGACUCCUACGGGAGGCAGCAGUGGGGAAUAUUGGACAAUGGGGGGAACCCUGAUCCAGCAAUGCCGCGUGUGUGAAGAAGGCCUGAGGGUUGUAAAGCACUUUCAGUGGGGAGGAGGUUUGGAAGGUUAAGAGCUAUUCAAAUGGACGUUACCCACAGAAGAAGCACCGGCUAACUCCGUGCCAGCAGCCGCGGUAA
rnacentral:rRNA from 1 species